UACGUAGGGUGCAAGCGUUGUCCGGAAUUAUUGGGCGUAAAGAGCUCGUAGGCGGUUUGUCGCGUCUGCUGUGAAAACCCGAGGCUCAACCUCGGGCCUGCAGUGGGUACGGGCAGACUAGAGUGCGGUAGGGGGAGAUUGGAAUUCCUGGUGUAGCGGUGGAAUGCGCAGAUAUCAGGAGGAACACCAAUGGCGAAGGCAGAUCUCUGGGCCGUAACUGACGCUGAGGAGCGAAAGCGUGGGGAGCGAACAGG
rnacentral:rRNA from 1 species